CAAGCGUUGUUCGGAAUUACUGGGCGUAAAGGGUUCGUAGGCGGCCAACUAAGUCAGACGUGAAAUCCCUCAGCUUAACUGGGGAACUGCGUCUGAGACUGGAUGGCUUGAGUGCAGGAGAGGAACGCGGAAUUCCAGGUGUAGCGGUGAAAUGCGUAGAUAUCUGGAGGAACACCGGUGGCGAAGGCGGCGUUCUGGACUGCUACUGACACUGAGGAACGAAAGCCAGGGGAGCAAACGGG
rnacentral:rRNA from 1 species